rnacentral:rRNA from 1 species
UACGUAGGUGGCAAGCGUUUGUCCGGAAUUACUGGGUGUAAAGCGCGUGUAGGCGGGAGGCCAAGUCUGCUGUGAAAUCGCUCGGCUCAACUGGGCGAGGUCGGUGGAAACUGGUCCCCCUGGAGGACGGUAGAGGCGAGUGGAAUUCCCCGGUGUAGUGGUGAAAUGCGUAGAGAUCGGGGAGGAACACCAGUGGCGAAGGCGGCUCGCUGGGCCGGUCCUGACGCUGAGAC